rnacentral:rRNA from 1 species
CCUACGGGAGGCAGCAGUGAGGAAUAUUGGUCAAUGGGCGCGAGCCUGAACCAGCCAAGUAGCGUGAAGGAUGACUGCCCUACGGGUUGUAAACUUCUUUUAUAAAGGAAUAAAGUGAGGCACGUGUGCCUUUUUGUAUGUACUUUAUGAAUAAGGAUCGGCUAACUCCGUGCCAGCAGCCGCGGUAAUCCGGAGGAUCCGAGCGUUAUCCGGAUUUAUUGGGUUUAAAGGGCGCGUAGAUGGGUUGUUAAGUCAGUUGUGAAAGUUUGCGGCUCAACCGUAAAAUUGCAAUUGAGACUGGCAGCCUUGAGUACAGUUGAGGUAGGCGGAAUGCGUGGUGUAGCGGAGAAAUGCUUAGAUAUCACGAAGAACUCCGAGUGCGAAGGCAGCUUACUAAACUGCCACUGACAUUGAUGCUCGAAAGUGUGGGUAUCAAACAGGAUUAGAUACCCGAGUAGUC